rnacentral:rRNA from 1 species
UCGACCGCCUGGGGAGUACGGCCGCAAGGUUAAAACUCAAAUGAAUUGACGGGGGCCCGCACAAGCGGUGGAGCAUGUGGUUUAAUUCGAUGCAACGCGAAGAACCUUACCUGGUCUUGACAUCCACGGAAGUUUUCAGAGAUGAGAAUGUGCCUUCGGGAACUGUGAGACAGGUGCUGCAUGGCUGUCGUCAGCUCGUGUUGUGAAAUGUUGGGUUAAGUCCCGCAACGAGCGCAACCCUUAUCCUUUGUUGCCAGCGGUCCGGCCGGGAACUCAAAGGAGACUGCCAGUGAUAAACUGGAGGAAGGUGGGGAUGACGUCAAGUCAUCAUGGCCCUUACGACCAGGGCUACACACGUGCUACAAUGGCGCAUACAAAGAGAAGCGACCUCGCGAGAGCAAGCGGACCUCAUAAAGUGCGUCGUAGUCCGGAUUGGAGUCUGCAACUCGACUCCAUGAAGUCGGAAUCGCUAGUAAUCGUGGAUCAGAAUGCCACGGUGAAUACGUUCCCGGGCCUUGUACACACCGCCCGUCACACCAUGGGAGUGGGUUGCAAAAGAAGUAGGUAGCUUAACCUUCGGGAGGGCGCUUACCACUUUGUGAUUCAUGACUGGGGUGAAGUCGUAACAAGGUAACCGUAGGGGAACCUGCGGUUGGAUCACCUCCUUACCUUAAAGAAGC